ACCUAUAUGCCAUACCAGUAUCUUCACACUCCUUGGUUAAGAGGACAACCAACCCAUAUGGCCUACAGCGACCUAUGCUCGAUAGAAGCUGUCGUCCUUAUUAACAGCCUAUCAUUUGGUCGUGAACAGUUUUAAGGACUAAUCGAUAAAUCCUCUCUUUAUCGAACUUAAAUAGUCCUAAGGACUUCAUCGUAACAACGGAGUUCAUUAGAAGAUGAAAGCUUAUGAUGAAGAUGCCAAAUAUAUUUUAUUUAUUAACAAAUCAAUUACAAUACUUGGUUGCUCAACCGUCAACAGCUUGAUGAUUGGCUUUUUGGGACACAUUUCCCAACA
rnacentral:lncRNA from 1 species